UCCAACCUAACCCUUAGCCGUUGAGAGCUCAUAACCUCGAGCCCAGAGCCAAGAGCGCGCUCUCUCUUACUUCCUCAUCGUUUCUUAUGGAGCUUAUGAGUACAUCAAACCCUAAUCUAGUAGCACCUGCACAUUUUCAAAACCCUCCGCCUCUCAACCAAGCCGCAGACUCCCUCAGUUCUCUCCAUUCUUGUAAAAAAAAACACCACCACAAACCCUUGCCCCAUUUCUUCUCCGCUCAUCUCUGAAACCUUUGAAAUCACAGCCCCAACCCUCACUGAAAAGGACUGGGUUUCCAAAAAGAGACAUGAAGAUGGCGCUACGGGCCCAACCCCAACUCGCAAUGCAAGAAAGGAACUACGGAGUUCCUCCCAGCUCAGAUCCGUAAUCUCAAGAUUCUGCUCCUCCCCAUCACCACCAACAGUGGCGGAUAUUUCGAAGGUUGUUCUGGUGGAGUUUUACCAGCUGUCGGAAACUCGGGAAGGAAGAGGAGGGAGUGUUUAGGGUUGAGUAUGGGGAUGAGAUGGAGGGUGUGGAGGUGGCCGAGGCGGCGGCGGAGGAGAUCGGUAUAGCUGAUCUGGCAGUUGAGGAAGGCACCAGGGCUUUGAAGGACUUCAUACCCUACAAUGGGGUCUUGAACUUGGAGGGCGUUCACAGGCCACUGCUAGCGUGCAGGUUUCUCCCAGUCUAGUUUCAUUUCUGAUUUCUCACUGAGUCUUCCAACACCGACAGCCUUCCUUCGAAUCGUCUCUGACUCUCCAGCCGCCCAGCCUUCCUUCAUGAAUCACCACCCAGCCACCGCCACGCCAAAGCAUCAAAGACUGAACUCUCCAGCCUUCCUUCACGAAUCGUCUCCGACUCUUGCGAUCUCUCUCUCACGGACAGAACUCUCGAUCUAGCACCGAGUCCGAGUCUCACUCUCACCCCAAAUUAGGGAGAAGUGUUAGCAGGUUUAGCACUGCUGUAGCAACUGAGGAGUUAAUCAUUUCACCUGUUCAAACUUCAAAUUAGUCACACGCUGCGUCAGGUAAUAUUUUUGUUUUGGCUAUAGAAUCUUAGAUACAUGGUCUUGCUUUAAUGUUUGAUAGCAAAUCAAGUUUUGUAAUUCUGUGCACAGAUUGGCAUAUUCUAGGCAGAUACUUAACUGGGCCUUGCCAUUUAAUUGGCAUAUUUGUGCACAGAUUAGUAGAAAAAAGACAUGACGUUACAAAGUCUGUAGGUUUGCCAUCCUCUAUAUUAGAAACGAGCUGGUUUUUAUUUGCUCGGAAUAUAUUUCUAUGUUGAAUGCUAAUAUUUUUGCUUUUGGAUUUGGUACUUAA